rnacentral:rRNA from 1 species
UCAGCAGCCGCGGUAAAACGUAGGAGGCAAGCGUUAUCCGGAUUCACUGGGCGUAAAGCGCGUGCAGGCGGUGCGGUAAGUUGGGCGUGAAAUCUCCCGGCUCAACUGGGAUAGGUCGUCCAAUACUACCGUACUUGAGAGCAGAAGAGGAAAAUGGAAUUCCCGGUGUAGUGGUGAAAUGCGUAGAUAUCGGGAGGAACACCAGUGGCGAAGGCGAUUUUCUGGUCUGUUUCUGACGCUCAGACGCGACAGCUAGGGUAGUAAACGGGAUUAGAGACCCCGGUAAUCCUAGCCGUAAACGAUGUGAACUUGGCGUUGGUGGGUUAAACUCCAUCAGUGCCGUAGCAAACGCGAUAAGUUCACCGCCUGGGGACUACGGCCGCAAGGUUAAAACUCAAAGGAAUUGACGGGGGCCCGCACA